rnacentral:rRNA from 1 species
GACGAACGCUGGCGGCGUGCCUAAUACAUGCAAGUAGAACGCACAGUUUAUACCGUAGCUUGCUACACCAUAGACUGUGAGUUGCGAACGGGUGAGUAACGCGUAGGUAACCUUUCGGGUAGCGGGGGAUAACUAUUGUAAACGAUAGCUAAUACCGCAUAAUAUUGAUUAUUCCAUGAUAAUUGAUUGAUAGCUGCUAUUGCAUCACUACCAUAUGGAUCUGCGUUUGAUUAGCUAGUAGGUGAGGUAACGGCCCACCUAAGCGACGGUACAUAGCCGGCCUGGGGGGGUGAUCGGGCAACAUGGGAACGGGAAAAGGCCCCGAAUUCUUACGGAGGCAGCAGUAGGGAAACUUCGGCAAUGGACGAAAGUCUGAACGAGCAACGCCGCGUGAGUGAAGGAGGUUUUCGGAUCGUAAAACUCUGUUGUAAGAGAAGAAAGGGUGUGAGAGUAGAAAGUUCACACUGUGACGGUAUCUUACCAGAAAGGGACGGCUAACUACGUG